GACGAACGCUGGCGGCGUGCCUAAUACAUGCAAGUCGAACGCAGUUGCGAACGGGUGAGUCACGCGUAUGUAACUGCCUCAUAGCGGGGGGUAACUAUUGGAAACGAUAUCUAAUACCGCAUCCUUUGAGCUGGAUCUGCUUUGUAUUAGCUAGUUGGUGGGGUAAAGGCUCACCAAGGCCACGAUACAUAGCAGACCUGAGAGGGUGAUCGGCCACACUGGAACUGAGACACGGGCCAGACUCCUACGGGAGGCAGCAGUAGGGAAUCUUGGGCAAUGGACGGAAGUCUGAUCGAGCAACGCCGCGUGAGUGAAGAAGGUUUUCGGAUCGUAAAGCUCUGUUGUUAGAGAAGCGGUAACUAAACAGAAAGGGACGGCUAACUACGUGCCAGCAGCCGCGGUAAUAC
rnacentral:rRNA from 1 species